rnacentral:rRNA from 1 species
AGCGAACGCUGGCGGCAGGCCUAACACAUGCAAGUCGAACGAAGUCUUCGGACUUAGUGGCGGACGGGUGAGUAACACGCGGGAACGUGCCUUUAGGUUCGGAAUAACUCAGGGAAACUUGUGCUAAUACCGAAUGUGCCCUUCGGGGGAAAGAUUUAUCGCCUUUAGAGCGGCCCGCGUCUGAUUAGCUAAUUGGUGAGGUAAAGGCUCACCAAGGCGACGAUCAGUAGCUGGUCUGAGAGGAUGAUCAGCCACAUUGGGACUGAGACACGGCCCAAACUCCUACGGGAGGCAGCAGUGGGGAAUCUUGCGCAAUGGGCGAAAGCCUGACGCAGCCAUGCCGCGUGAAUGAUGAAGGUCUUAGGAUUGUAAAAUUCUUUCACCGGGGACGAUAAUGACGGUACCCGGAGAAGAAGCCCCGGCUAACUUCGUGCCAGCAGCCGCCGUAA